GACGAACGCUGGCGGCGUGCUUAACACAUGCAAGUCGAACGGAAAGGCCCCAGCUUGCUGGGGUACUCGAGUGGCGAACGGGUGAGUAACACGUGGGUGAUCUGCCCUGCACUCUGGGAUAAGCCUGGGAAACUGGGUCUAAUACCGGAUAGGACCGUGCUUUAGUGUGUGCGGUGGAAAGUUUUUCGGUGCAGGAUGAGCCCGCGGCCUAUCAGCUUGUUGGUGGGGUAAUGGCCUACCAAGGCGGCGACGGGUAGCCGGCCUGAGAGGGUGUACGGCCACAUUGGGACUGAGACACGGCCCAGACUCCUACGGGAGGCAGCAGUGGGGAAUAUUGCACAAUGGGCGCAAGCCUGAUGCAGCGACGCCGCGUGGGGGAUGACGGCCUUCGGGCUGUAAACCCCUUUCGGCAGGGACGAAGCUUUUGUGACGGUACCUGCAUAAGAAGCACCGGCUAACUACGUG
rnacentral:rRNA from 1 species